AAUGAACGUUGGCGGCGUGGAUUAGGCAUGCAAGUCGAACGGGCCCGGUCGCAAGACCGGGUCAGUGGCGCAAGGGUGAGUAAGGCGACGGUAACCAACCCCAUGGUCGGGUAUAGCCGCGGGAAACUGCGGGUAAUCCCCAGCGACGUACGAGGCCGGCAUCGGCCUCUUACCAAAGCUCUGGCGCCGUGGGACGGGCCGUUGUGGUAUUAGGUAGUUGGCGGGGUAACGGCCCACCAAGCCGAUGAUGCCUACCGGGCGUGCGAGCGUGGCCCGGCACACUGGGACUGAGACACUGCCCAGACUCCUACGGGAGGCUGCAGUCGAGAAUCUUCGGCAAUGGGCGCAAGCCUGACCGAGCGACGCCGCGUGGAGGAUGAAGGCCUUCGGGUUGUAAACUCCUGUCGAGGGGGAGGAAGGCCGGGCGACCGGCUUGACCGAUCCCUGGAGGAAGCACGGGCUAAGUUCGUGCCAGCCGCCGCCGUAAAAC
rnacentral:rRNA from 1 species